rnacentral:rRNA from 1 species
GUGAGGAAUUUUGCGCAAUGGGGGCAACCCUGACGCAGCGACGCCGCGUGGAGGACGAAGUCUUUCGGGAUGUAAACUCCUGUCAGUGGGGACGAUAAUGACGGUACCCACAGAGGAAGCACCGGCUAACUCCGUGCCAGCAGCCGCGGUAAGACGGAGGGUGCAAGCGUUGUUCGGAAUUACUGGGCGUAAAGCGUAUGUAGGCGGCAAGUUAAGUUCAAUGUUAAAGCCCACGGCUCAACCGAGUAGAUGCAUUGAAUACUGGCUAGCUAGAGGGUGUUAGAGGAAGACGGAAUUCCCAGUGUAGCGGUGAAAUGCGUAGAUAUUGGGAGGAACAUCGGUAGCGAAAGCGGUCUUCUGGGACAUACCUGACGCUGAGGUACGAAAGCGUGGGGAGCAAACGGGUUAGAAACCCUUGUAGUCC